ACGGACACAAACAGGGGUGGGGACAGACGGACAUCAGCGAUGACGACAUUCGGGACAGACGGACACGGGUGGGGGGAGGGGAAGGAGAUCCCGACCCCAAUGGGAUCCCAGGUUCAGGUCCCAAUGAUCCCAAACCUAAAAAGACCCCAACCCCAAAAAGACCCCAACCCAAAAAGACCCCAACCCCAAAAGACCCCAACCCCAAAAAGACCCCAACCCCAAAAGACCCCAACCCCAAAAGACCCCCACCCCAAAGGGAUCCCAACUCACGAGACCCCCACCCCAAUGAAACACAGACUCAGGAGAUGCUGACCCCAAUGGAAGCCAUGUUCAGGUCCCAAUGAUCCCAAACCCAACGGGACCCCAGACUCAGGAGACCCCAACCCCAUGUUGGGGUGACGGAGACCCCAACCCCAACGGGGUCCCGUGUUGGGGUGACGGAGACCCCAACCCCAAUGGGGUCCUGUGUUGGGUUGAUGGAGACCCCAAAACCAAUGGGGUCCCAUGUUGGAUGCAUGGAGACCCGACCCCAACGGGGUCCCGUGUUGGGUUGAUGGAGACCCCAACCCCAAUAGGGUCCCAUGUUGGAUUGAUGGAGACCCCAACCCAAAUGGGGUCCUGUGUUGGGUUGAUGGAGACCCCAACCCCAACGGGGUCCCACGUUGGCUUGACGGAGACCCAACCUCAACGGGGUCUCGUGUUGGGCUGACGGAGCCCCCAACCCCCCGUGCCCCCCAUCCGACGCCCCCCGCCCGCAGCUCAGUCCCAGUCGGUGGGCUCACAGAUGCUGAGCGGGGCGGCGUUGCGGCGCCCGGCGCGGAUGCCGGGGUAGAAGAGCGGCCAUAUUUUCUCGGUGAAGGUGUCGGUGAAGGUGUAGAGGUGCGAGCGGUCGGUGACGUUGUAGAAGGAAACCUCCCCCGCCUCGUAGUCCACGAAGACCCCCACCCUGGUGGGCUUCACCCUGGGGCUGAGGGGGGUGAAGGGGGCGGUGGUGGCGGCGUAGCGAUCGCCGUUCCAAAGCCGGACCCUCCAAAAUCCGCUCUCGGGCAGCGCCGCCGGCUCCCCGUUGCGACACACCGAGUCCCCGCAGACCCCCAGCGCCCAGUGGGUUUUGUGGCCCACCUCCACCUCCCAGUAAUGGCGGCCCGACGUGAAGCCCCUGGAGCCCAGCACGCACGGGUAGGUGGUGAAGCGGCGGCUGCUGGCCGCCAGGUGGCGCUGGCGGCUCUCGAUGAAACGGACGCUUUUCCGGUCGGGGGAUAAAAGGAGGUUGGGGUGCGCGGUGUCGGGGUCCAG
rnacentral:lncRNA from 1 species